AUUGAACGCUGGCGGCAGGCCUAACACAUGCAAGUCGAGCGGUAGAGAGAAGCUUGCUUCUCUUGAGAGCGGCGGACGGGUGAGUAAAGCCUAGGAAUCUGCCUGGUAGUGGGGGAUAACGUCCGGAAACGGACGCUAAUACCGCAUACGUCCUACGGGAGAAAGCAGGGGAUCUUCGGGCCUUGCGCUAUCGGAUGAGCCUAGGUCGGAUUAGCUAGUUGGUGAGGUAAUGGCUCACCAAGGCGACGAUCCGUAACUGGUCUGAGAGGAUGAUCAGUCACACUGGAACUGAGACACGGUCUAGACUCCUACGGGAGGCAGCAGUGGGGAAUAUUGGACAAUGGGCGAAAGCCUGAUCCAGCCAUGCCGCGUGUGUGAAGAAGGUCUUCGGAUUGUAAAGCACUUUAAGUUGGGAGGAAGGGCAUUAACCUAAUACGUUAGUGUUUUGACGUUACCGACAGAAUAAGCACCGGCUAACUCUGUGCCAGCCGCCGCCGUAA
rnacentral:rRNA from 1 species